rnacentral:rRNA from 1 species
AACGAACGCUGGCGGCGUGCCUAACACAUGCAAGUCGAACGGAGUUAAGGAGCUUGCUCUUUAACUUAGUGGCGCACGUGUGAGUAACGCGUAGAUAAUCUGCCUGAUGAUCUGGGAUAACAUUUCGAAAGGGGUGCUAAUACCGGAUAAACCCACGACGGCCUUGGUCGACGCGGGAAAAGGGGGGGACCUUCGGGCCUUCUGUCAUCAGAUGAGUCUGCGUACCAUUAGCUAGUUGGUGGGGUAAAGGCCUACCAAGGCUACGAUGGUUAGAUGGUCUGGGAGGAUGAUCAGCCACACUGGAACUGGGACACGGUCCAGACGCCUACGGGAGGCAGCAGUGGGGAACUUUGCGCAAUGGGCGAAAGCCUGACGUAGCAACGCCGCGUGAGUGAUGAAGGCUUUCGGGUCGUAAAGCUCUGUCAAUGGGAAAGAAGUGUAUUAUGGCUAAUAUCCAUGAUACUUGACGGUACCCAUAAAGGAAGCACCGGCUAACUCCGUGCCAGCAGCCGCGGUAA